GCCGCGAGACAGCUGCUGGCCCGCCGGGGUCAGAGGAAAGUCCAUGCUCGCACUGUCUGCGAUGACAGUAGUGUUUGUGCCGGGCCAAUCAAUAAGCCCGGGUACGUCCACUGGACGUAACGGCUGCAUCGUUCUCCUAAAGCUUCAGCCAUGGAGAACGGUCUUUAAAAGUGCCACAGAGACGAAGCCGUUCGGGAAACAGAACGGGUGGAACGGGUAAACCCCUCAAGCGAGAAACCCAAAUUUGGUAGGGGAACCGCUGGACCGGAACUGAACGGAAAGGCGGAUGCGCGCUGCGCAUAGAUAAAUAGCUGCCGCCGGCAUCUGCCGGAACAGAACAUGGCUUAUGAAC
rnacentral:RNase_P_RNA from 1 species